AUUGAACGCUGGCGGCAGGCCUAACACAUGCAAGUCGAGCGGAUGAAGGGAGCUUGCUCCUGGAUUCAGCGGCGGACGGGUGAGUAAUGCCUAGGAAUCUGCCUGGUAGUGGGGGAUAACGUCCGGAAACGGGCGCUAAUACCGCAUACGUCCUGAGGGAGGAGGUGGGGGAUCUUCGGACCUCACGCUAUCAGAUGAGCCUAGGUCGGAUUAGCUAGUUGGUGGGGUAAAGGCCUACCAAGGCGACGAUCCGUAACUGGUCUGAGAGGAUGAUCAGUCACACUGGAACUGAGACACGGUCCAGACUCCUACGGGAGGCAGCAGUGGGGAAUAUUGGACAAUGGGCGAAAGCCUGAUCCAGCCAUGCCGCGUGUGUGAAGAAGGUCUUCGGAUUGUAAAGCACUUUAAGUUGGGAGGAAGGGCAGUAAGUUAAUACCUUGCUGUUUUGACGUUACCAACAGAAUAAGCACCGGCUAACUUCGUG
rnacentral:rRNA from 1 species